CCUACGGAGGGCUGCAGUGGGGAAUAUUGGACAAUGGGCGAAAGCCUGAUCCAGCCAUGCCGCGUGUGUGAAGAAGGCCUUCGGGUUGUAAAGCACUUUCAGUGGGGAAGAAAGCCUUGGGGCUAAUACCCUCGAGGAAGGACAUCACCCACAGAAGAAGCACCGGCUAACUCCGUGCCAGCAGCCGCGGUAAUACGGAGGGUGCGAGCGUUAAUCGGAAUUACUGGGCGUAAAGCGCGCGUAGGCGGUCUGAUAAGCCGGUUGUGAAAGCCCCGGGCUCAACCUGGGAACGGCAUCCGGAACUGUCAGGCUAGAGUGCAGGAGAGGAAGGUAGAAUUCCCGGUGUAGCGGUGAAAUGCGUAGAGAUCGGGAGGAAUACCAGUGGCGAAGGCGGCCUUCUGGACUGACACUGACGCUGAGGUGCGAAAGCGUGGGUAGCAAACAGGAUUAGAUACCCUGGUAGU
rnacentral:rRNA from 1 species